rnacentral:rRNA from 1 species
UGGGGAAUCUUGCACAAUGGGGGAAACCCUGAUGCAGCGACGCCGCGUGAGCGAUGAAGCCUUUCGGGGUGUAAAGCUCUUUCGGCAGGGAAGAUAAUGACGGUACCUGCAGAAGCAGCUGCGGCUAACUACGUGCCAGCAGCCGCGGUAAUACGUAGGCAGCAAGCGUUGUUCGGAGUUACUGGGCGUAAAGGGUGCGUAGGCGGUCCUAUAAGUAUGGUGUGAAAUCUCCCGGCUCAACUGGGAGGGUGCGCCGUAGACUGUGGGACUAGAGUAUGGGAGAGGAAAGUGGAAUUCCUGGUGUAGCGGUGAAAUGCGUAGAUAUCAGGAGGAACACCGGUGGUGUAAACGGCUUUCUAGACCAUAACUGACGCUGAGGCACGAAAGCGUGGGUAGCAAACAGG